rnacentral:rRNA from 1 species
UACGUAGGGUGCGAGCGUUAAUCGGAAUUACUGGGCGUAAAGCGUGCGCAGGCGGUUGUGCAAGACAGAUGUGAAAUCCCCGGGCUUAACCUGGGAACUGCAUUUGUGACUGCAUGGCUAGAGUGUGUCAGAGGGGGGUAGAAUUCCACGUGUAGCAGUGAAAUGCGUAGAUAUGUGGAGGAAUACCGAUGGCGAAGGCAGCCCCCUGGGAUAACACUGACGCUC